ensembl:lncRNA
CCCAUCCCUGUCUCCAGGGACCUGCCCGUUGGACGCUUAUACAUUGCAGAGGACAAGCCAAGGCAAGGCCUUAGCGGAUAUGUGGAGUCCACAGGCCAGGCCCGUGUGUUCUGGGAGGUUCACUGCUCUGUGGUCUUCUCACCUGCAGAGGUCCUAGCAGACCGAGCCCUUCCUUCUUCCUGGGGUGAAGGCUUGGGCCUCACACAUCUGGGAUCUCUGUGGUUCAUCGUGUGCCCCUGCAAGCCGCAGGCUGGCCUGUUCAGAUCACCCGUGCAAACUGCUGCCUUCUCAAGGCCCGGGGUGGGUCUGUGGCCCGUGGUUGGACAGGCUCACCUGAGCACACAGAACCAGCCAGGAGACUGGGAGCAGAACACAGGAAUUCAGAGGAGGCAGGAUGAGAAGGAGAGUGACCCCGGGCAUGUAACACUUUGGGAAUGUAAUGCUUUGGGGGAGGCACAAGGUUGGGGUGUGGGAGGUGGCUCUGAGGCAGUGUUGUCUAGAUCUUUAGAGGCAGAGAGACCCCGGGUGACCCGUGGGCUAGAGCCACUCUAGAAAACUGAACAGAGCCCUGAGCCCACAGUGGGGGGAUGAUGGCUUUGCUCUGUGGCAUGCCGACCCAUUUCCCUGGCAAUUUGCCAGUCAGAUGUCUGUGUCUCUAUCUCUCUGGCUUUGGAAGCAAAGAUCAGAGUCUACAGCCCAGGGCUUUGUCAGGCAGAGCAGAGCUUUGAAAGGGCCUCGGUCAUCCCUCUGGGUAAGGGAAGGAGCUGGGCAUUUGGGGAAUCUGCUGAUUUUGUCUCACUGCUGGGGAGUCAAUGGCAGAAAUGACAAGUCCAAAGAAUCGUAAAAGCUUUAAGACAAUGGGGAUGGGAAUCUGCCUGGGUGGGCUCCAGCCUCCUUGACCCAGGACCCCUGCAGAGGCGGACAUGGUUCUGGAGCCCGGCUUCCCCAGGCCUUCCCCUGGCUCUGCUUAGCCCUGCUCUGGUGGAGGUGAGGCAGUGGGGAGAGAGGCUGGCCCCAGAGCCACUUUCCUGCUGUGGGCUUGGUGCUUUCUGGCUGGAGAAGGUCUUGCUUGACUAGGGCCUCCAGGGCCAAAGAAGGUGGAGCAAAAACCCAGAUGCACCCUCUCAGUUUUGACUGGACAAGGAGCUGGGCUUGCUGGGGAGGCACCAUGCUGGGCGGGACCCAGGGCAGACUAGUUUGCGGGAAUGGCCGUAGCAGCAGGCACCCCAGCUCAUGCUCUUCUUACACUGUGACAUUGACCUCCAUCGUGCAGGGAAACCUGUGUUCCACCCUGGUGACCAGCUCCAGCAAUGAACUGUGAUGAAGUGACUUCUGAGGCUCGGUUGUAAAAGGUCAUCCAGCUUCUGCCCAGUUCUCUCUUUUGGGGCGUGCACCUGUGGAGCCCUGAGCCCCCAGGUAAGAUGUUUUAGUUACACGGAAGACACCACAUUGGGGAGAGCAUGUGGCAAGACUGUGGAGAGAGAGAGAGAAGCUCAAGGAGCCUGAACCACCACGGUGGCCCAGCAGAGCAGUGGACCUGAGAGGGAGUGAG